CCGCGCCUGCAGCAUGAUGGUCAAGGCCACCACGCCCGUGCGCAUUCUGAAUCUGGUCGCGCCCCUGGCUCACAAGGCCACGGACAUGCACACCACGGAGACCGCUGCCUCAGUGCAGGCCAGGCCCGGUGCAGUUUCCCGGCUGAUCGGCGCAAGCCUUCGGCCGGGCGACGUGGAAAGCGCGAACGCACG
rnacentral:sRNA from 12 species